rfam:Microgenomates (Gottesmanbacteria) bacterium GW2011_GWA2_41_12 TT37_C0002, whole genome shotgun sequence.
CGGGGAUUAGUUCAGUUGGUAGAACGCACGGCUGGGGGUCGUGAAGUCACCCGUUCAAGUCGGGUAUCCCCGA